ACUCUUUGAGAAUAUGUGUCAUCAUCUUGUUAAUCUCUUGGAUGAUUCAUAAACACAUAAACAUAAAUGGUAAUAUAAUUGCCCAAUAAGUAUAAAAUCAUAUCCUUAAAAUAUGGAGUAUAUCAGCCAAGAUUGGCUUCUAGGGCAUAUAUCCAACAUGUUCUAUAUCCAAGCUAACUCUUUCAGGGUCCCAAGCCAGCUCGACCCAGUCCGAGUCAACUUCACC
rnacentral:lncRNA from 1 species